rnacentral:rRNA from 1 species
UGGAUCCUGAGUACGACGGAGCACGUGAAAUUCCGUCGGAAUCUGGGAGGACCAUCUCCUAAGGCUAAAUACUCUCUAGUGACCGAUAGUGAACCAGUACCGUGAGGGAAAGGUGAAAAGUACCCCGGAAGGGGAGUGAAAGAGAACUUGAAACCGUGUGCUUACAAGUAGUCAGAGCCCGUUAAUGGGUGAUGGCGUGCCUUUUGUAGAAUGAACCGGCGAGUUACGAUCUGAUGCAAGGUUAAGCAGAAAAUGUGGAGCCGUAGCGAAAGCGAGUCUGAAUAGGGCGAAUGAGUAUUUGGUCGUAGACCCGAAACCAGGUGAUCUACCCUUGGUCAGGUUGAAGUUCAGGUAACACUGAAUGGAGGACCGAACCGACUUACGUUGAAAAGUGAGCGGAUGAACUGAGGGUAGCGGAGAAAUUCCAAUCGAACUUGGAGAUAGCUGGUUCUCUCCGAAAUAGCUUUAGGGCUAGCCUCAAGUGAUGAUUAUUGGAGGUAGAGCACUGUUUGGACGAGGGGCCCCUCUCGGGUUACCGAAUUCAGACAAACUCCGAAUGCCAAAUAAUUUAACUUGGGAGUCAGAAUGUGGGUGAUAAGGUCCAUAUUCGAAAGGGAAACAGCCCAGACCACCAGCUAAGGUCCCAAAAUAUAUGUUAAGUGGAAAAGGAUGUGGCGUUGCCCAGACAACUAGGAUGUUGGCUUAGAAGCAGCCAUCAUUUAAAGAGUGCGUAAUAGCUCACUAGUCGAGUGACACUGCGCCGAAAAUGUACCGGGGCUAAACAUAUUACCGAAGCUGUGGAUUGUCCUUUGGACAAUGGUAGGAGAGCGUUCUAAGGGCGUUGAAGCAUGAUCGCAAGGACAUGUGGAGCGCUUAGAAGUGAGAAUGCCGGUGUGAGUAGCGAAAGACGGGUGAGAAUCCCGUCCACCGAUUGACUAAGGUUUCCAGAGGAAGGCUCGUCCGCUCUGGGUUAGUCGGGUCCUAAGCUGAGGCCGACAGGCGUAGGCGAUGGAUAACAGGUUGAUAUUCCUGUACCACCAUUAUUCGUUUUAAGCGAUGGGGGGACGCAGUAGGAUAGGCGAAGCGUGCUGUUGGAGUGCACGUCCAAGCAGUGAGAUUGAGUGUUAGGCAA